GGGGGUGUAGCUCAGAUGGUAGAGCGCUCGCUUAGCAUGCGAGAAGUACGGGGAUCGAUCCCCCGCACCUCCA
rnacentral:tRNA from 1 species